AUACGGAGGAUCCGAGCGUUAUCCGGAUUUAUUGGGUUUAAAGGGUGCGCAGGCGGCCAUUUAAGUCAGCGGUUAAAUCGUGGGGCUCAACCCCAUUCUGCCGUUGAUACUGGGUGGCUUGAUUGCGGUCGAGGUUGGCGGAAUUCGUUGUGUAGCGGUGAAAUGCAUAGAUAUGACGAAGAACACCGAUUGCGUAGGCAGCUGACCAGAUCGCAAAUGACGCUCAUGCACGAAAGUGCGGGGAUCGAACAGGAUUAGAUACCCUGGUAGUCCGCACAGUAAACGAUGAAUACUUGUUUUCGGCGAUAUAAUGUCGGAGGCAUAGCGAAAGCGAUAAGUAUUCCACCUGGGGAGUACGCCGGCAACGGUGAAACUCAAAGGAAUUGACGGGG
rnacentral:rRNA from 1 species